GAUGAACGCUGGCGGCGUGCCUAAUACAUGCAAGUCGAGCGAACAGACGAGGAGCUUUCUCCUCUGACGUUAGCGGCGGACGGGUGAGUAACACGUGGAUAACCUACCUAUAAGACUGGGAUAACUUCGUGAAACCGGAUCUAAUACCGGAUAAUAUGUUGAACCGCAUGGAUCAAUAGUGAAAGACGGUUUUGCUGUCACUUUUAGAUGGAUCCGCGCCGGAUUAGCUAGUUGGUAAGGUAACGGCUUACCAAGGCAACGAUGCGUAGCCGACCUGAGAGGGUGAUCGGCCACACUGGAACUGAGACACGGUCCAGACUCCUACGGGAGGCAGCAGUAGGGAAUAUUCCGCAAUGGGCGAAAGCCUGACGGAGCCACGCCGCGUGAGUGAUGAAGGUCUUCGGAUCGUAAAACUCUGUUAUUAGGGAAGAAAAAAUGUGUAAGUAACUAUGCACGUCUUGACGGUACCUAAUCAGAAAGCCACGGCUAACUACGUG
rnacentral:rRNA from 1 species